CUAGAAAUUAUACUUUGAACCUGAAAAGCCUGCCAGAUGAAAAUAGCACUGAGAGAUAUUUUUCAGCAAAAAGUUCUGCUUCUGAAGAAUCAGCAUCUAUAAAAGAAAAAGGAAAUAGUUCUCCAAAAAUUCUCACUGUGCUUCUUACAUACUAAUGCCUACUGUACUGAUCUGUCAUCCAGAGAAAGAAAGGGGGAAGCACCUCUUACAGCCACACAAAAUCAUGCGAACCAGCAAUGUGCAACUAUAUUACCCACCCUGGAAAAAUAAUGGAUUAUGGUUCCACUUGCUGGCGUAACACAAUCUACAACAUAGUUCUGGGAUGUGAGCUAACCCCUGAAACAAUGACUUUACUGAAAGAAUCAAGCCUCGGC